AACGUAGGAGGCUAGCGUUAUCCGGAUUUACUGGGCGUAAAGCGCGUGCAGGUGGUCUUGUAAGUUGGAUGUGAAAGCUCCUGGCUUAACUGGGAGAGGUCGUUCAAAACUGCAAGACUUGAGAUUGGUAGAGGGAGGUGGAAUUCCGGGUGUAGUGGUGAAAUGCGUAGAUAUCCGGAGGAACACCAGUGGCGAAAGCGGCCUCCUGGACCAAUUCUGACACUCAGACGCGAAAGCUAAGGUAGCAAACGGGAUUAGAGACCCCGGUAGUCUUAGCUGUAAACGAUGUGAACUUGGCGUCGGUGGGUUUAAAUCCAUCGGUGCCGAAGCUAACGCGAUAAGUUCACCGCCUGGGGACUACGGCCGCAAGGUUAAA
rnacentral:rRNA from 1 species